rnacentral:rRNA from 1 species
UACGUAGGAUCCGAGCGUUAUCCGGAGUGACUGGGCGUAAAGAGUUGCGUAGGCGGUUAGUAAAGCGAAUAGUGAAAUCUGGUGGCUCAACCAUUCAGGCUAUUAUUCGAACUCACUAACUCGAGAGUGGUAGAGGUAACUGGAAUUUCUUGUGUAGGAGUGAAAUCCGUAGAUAUAAGAAGGAACACCAAUGGCGUAGGCAGGUUACUGGACCAUUUCUGACGCUAAGGCACGAAAGCGUGGGGAGCGAACCGG